AUUGAACGCUGGCGGCAGGCCUAACACAUGCAAGUCGGACGGUAGCACAGGGGAGCUUGCUCCUCGGGUGACGAGUGGCGGACGGGUGAGUAAUGUCUGGGGAUCUGCCCGAUAGAGGGGGAUAACCACUGGAAACGGUGGCUAAUACCGCAUAAUGUCGCAAGACCAAAGAGGGGGACCUUCGGGCCUCUCACUAUCGGAUGAACCCAGAUGGGAUUAGCUAGUAGGCGGGGUAACGGCCCACCUAGGCGACGAUCCCUAGCUGGUCUGAGAGGAUGACCAGGCACACUGGAACUGAGACGCGGUCCAGACUCCUACGGGAGGCAGCAGUGGGGAAUAUUGCACAAUGGGCGCAAGCCUGAUGCAGCCAUGCCGCGUGUAUGAAGAAGGCCUUCGGGUUGUAAAGUACUUUCAGCGGGGAGGAAGGUGAUGUGGUUAAUAACCGCGUCGAUUGACGUUACCCGCAGAAGAAGCACCGGCUAACUCCGUGCCAGCCGCCGCAGUAA
rnacentral:rRNA from 1 species